rnacentral:tRNA from 1 species
GCCUGAGUAACUCAAUCGGUAGAGUAACUCUUUUGUAAAGAGUAAGUUGUGAGUUCGAGUCUCACCUCAGGCU